rnacentral:lncRNA from 1 species
GCCAUUCCUCGUUCCUCCUCCUAACCCAUUCUUGUCAGGCUUCCUUCCAACCCAUUCUGGUCGAUACCACUACCGUGUUUGCUGCUCUCCAACGCUAGUCAAAGCCAGCUGCAUUUAAGGCAACGUUUUAUGCCAUCUCAUGCUUUCAUCUUCUUCGCCGCGGUUCUAACCGAUCCCAGUGGACAUCUUCGCCGUGUCUGUGACUUUCCGACGACUAACGAAGUCCAG